rnacentral:pre_miRNA from 1 species
CCGAGCCCUCCAGGCUGAGUGGAAAGAUGGUGGUCCUGCAGAACAUGUGCUGAACCUGUGCCAUAUGUCUGCCGACCAUCACCUUUAGGAGCCCCUCUCGCCCA